AUGGAAGCUGAAACACCCCUAAUUUACUUUAGCCCCCCACCUUUUUCCUACCAUGGGACCAGAGCUGGUCCUCCCCUCUCUGCAGAGUCAGCAGGAGCUAGAACAGAUUGAGACUCUGCUCAUAUCCUGCUGACACCAGAGGUGGCAGAAUUUGCACCACACUCUAAGGGACUGGGAUUUCCUUCAUCACUGGGAGUGGAGUGGGGGAGACAGUAGGUUCCGAGGAAAUGAGCAGACACCUGAUGCUGAAGAAUGAAAAGAAAAUCUGGGGAGCCAACCCUAGGAAAAUGGGGAGAAGUUGUUUCGUUGGAGGGUGGCUGUUUUUGAAGAGAAGGAACUCCCCUUGUUGAUUUGAAAAGUGAAGAUUAUACAGUUUUAUUUCAGAAGCAUCAAACUUCAAUGCCUGUGGGACUCUGAGAACAGAAUUAAGCAAGAUAAGUGGGCUACACCAGGAGUGUGUUUCUCAUCAUAACAGAAGAGGGAAACAAGGACAAGCUUGAUUGGCCAAAAACUUUUUUAACCUUUCGCUACAUCAUACUGUGCAGAAAAGAACAUAGCAAGCCUGAUACUGCUGUACUUAGAAAAACCUGCUUGCAAGAUUGCCCUUGGCUGGUAUCUGGGUACUUGAUUGGGAAGAGUUCACAUUAUUGUCUGGUAAGAAAUGUUCACUAUAUCUAAGCAUUUUGUGCAAACAAUAUGUUAUCCUGAAGAUCUGCUUUCCUUCCAGGAGUCUGAAAUUUUAGUACAUGCUAGGCAAACAUGCCUGCAUGAUCAGCCCCCACUAGAAACUCUGGUCACCAAGUCUCUAAUGAGUUUCCCUGAUAGACAACAUUUUGAAACGGGAGAGUCCCCUGACCCCCUCUGCAGGAUGGCAACGGGGGUGUGGCUCAUCUGUUCGGUCACCAUCGCUGCUCAAACCCCUUACAGGAGGGAGAACAUGCAGACAGACAGGUGCAGGAGCCCAAGAAGGUGUGUGUUACAGUGCACUCUUUCAGCCUUGCUGUCCGUGGACAGCUUAAGUGUUAAUCAGCUCAGUAGACCCUCUGCCUUUUUGCAAGAACAGAGAGCCAAUGUAACAGCUUUUUAUAUCCUGAGCUCUUGUCCCACAUUCUGGAAGAAUUGGAUCACACAUGGACUUGAAGGACAGUGAAAGCAGAGGUUUUACUGAGUGGUGUAGGUGGCUCUCAGUGGGAAAGAUGGGGAACUGA